CUUUAAACUAUCUUUGUUCCUCCACCAAAGCCAUUAAUUAACGCACACACUUCUCAAGUAAAGAAAGUGAAAGACAAUGAUGCUACCCAAUGCAAAACUCUCGACCCCAACCUCAAAGUUUCUACCGCCGCCUAUAGAGCCACAGCAGCACAGCCGGAGAACCGCCGCAGGAGCCUCUCCGUCGCUGGAACUGAGCUGUAAAUUAUCACGCAGGAAUCUAAGUAAAUCCUCGUUGCUUCUACUCCUCGGCACUCAGACUACUCUGACGCCAUUGCUCGAUCUCUCUAAAGCACAAGCAGAUACGAUCUCUCAAGUAACUGAUAACCCGACAAGUUGUGGAGACAGAGUUUCGACAAAGAAAGCGUUCCUCGACGUAUCUAUCGGCGGAGAACCAGUUGGACGUAUCGUCAUCGGUUUAUACGGCGACGAUGUGCCGGCGGGAACGGCAAGAUUCAGUAGCAUUGUGAGCGGGAAAGCAGGAAUCAGUUACCGGAGAAAAGAGUUCGUGAAGAUAAUGCCAGGCUACGUCCAGCACGGCGGGAUCAGAUCGUACGGCGCCGACGCAGAGCGAGCCACCGCAGCAGCUGGGAGUCUGCAGAAACUAGUGGAAGAAUGGGAGAGAGGGAGGAGAGGAGAGAGGUGCAAAGAGGUUAAGGCGGGAAGCGUGGGGAUCGUGGUGAGGGAUCCGUUGAAGCCGCCGCCGAAGACGAAGCUGGUGGCGACUAACGGGAAGCUGGAGGUGCAGGAGGAGGAGAUUGCUGUGGGGCCUAACGGAACGGAGUUUGUUAUAACGGCGGUGGAUACGCCGGAGCUGGAGGAGUCGGUGUUGGUGAUUGGGGAAGUGUUGGAAGGGAUGGGAGUUGUGGAGAAGAUGAGGGAAGUUAAGACAGUGAGGGACAACACGAGUUCUCCUUACUUCAAGGUGGCUAAGGUAAUCGGAGAUAAGAGAGCCGUGGUAGCGGAAAGAGGGUUUAAUCGGCCAUAUACAAAGGUUCAGGUCACCAAUUGUGGUUUCAUUGAGUCACAAGACUCACAGUAGUCUCAAAGCCUUGGUCAAAUCCUUCUUUACUGUGAACUUUUUUGUGGUAUGGUGGAAAUAGUUUUCUCUUUUGGGAGCUUGAGAUGUACUAAAAAUGUAUGUUUUGGAAUGUUGAUUUGGUAUUAUGGUCUUAUGUUGAAUAACUUUAUAAUUUACCUCAAUGAGAAAAGCUAUGGAAUUAGCUUGUCAUUGUUAUUUUUCAUAUUUAACAUGGAUGUAACACUAGCAUAAUCGCUCGGUUUUAAUUGUCAACAAUAUGAAAA